rnacentral:rRNA from 1 species
UGACNUGAGUGCAGAAGGGGAGAGUGGAAUNCCAUGUGUAGCGGUGAAAUGCGUAGAUAUAUGGAGGAACACCAGUGGCGAAAGCGGCACUNUGGUCUGUCACUGACGCUGAGGCCCGAAAGCGUGGGUAGCGAACAGGAUUAGAUACCCUGGUAGUCCACGCCGUAAACGAUGAGUGCUAGGUGUUAGGCCCUUUCCGGGGCUUAGUGCCGGAGCUAACGCAAUAAGCACUCCGCCUGGGGAGUACGACCGCAAGGUUGAAACUCAAAGGAAUUGACGGGGGCCCGCACAAGCGGUGGAGCAUGUGGUUUAAUUCGAAGCAACGCGAAGAACCUUACCAGGUCUUGACAUCCCGAUGCUAUUCUUAGAGAUAGGAAGUUACUUCGGUACAUCGGAGACAGGUGGUGCAUGGUUGUCGUCAGCUCGUGUCGUGAGAUGUUGGGUNNNNNNNNNNCAACGAGCGCAACCCUUAUUGUUAGUUGCCAUCAUUAAGUUGGGCACUCUAGCGAGACUGCCGGUAAUAAACCGGAGGAAGGUGGGGAUGACGUCAAAUCAUCAUGCCCCUUAUGACCUGGGCUACACACGUGCUACAAUGGUCGGUACAACGAGUUGCGAGCCGGUGACGGCAAGCUAAUCUCUGAAAGCCGAUCUCAGUUCGGAUUGGAGGCUGCAACUCGCCUCCAUGAAGUCGGAAUCGCUAGUAAUCGCGGANCAGCACGCCGCGGUGAAUACGUUCCCGGGCCUU